AACGAACGCUGGCGGCAUGCCUAACACAUGCAAGUCGAACGAUUGCCUUCGGGUGAUAGUGGCGCACGGGUGCGUAACGCGUGGGAAUCUGCCCUUAGGUUCGGAAUAACAGCUGGAAACGGCUGCUAAUACCGGAUGAUAUCGCGAGAUCAAAGGUUUAUCGCCUGAGGAUGAGCCCGCGUUGGAUUAGGUAGUUGGUGGGGUAAAGGCCUACCAAGCCGACGAUCCAUAGCUGGUCUGAGAGGAUGAUCAGCCACACUGGGACUGAGACACGGCCCAGACUCCUACGGGAGGCAGCAGUGGGGAAUAUUGGACAAUGGGCGCAAGCCUGAUCCAGCAAUGCCGCGUGAGUGAUGAAGGCCCUAGGGUUGUAAAGCUCUUUUACCCGGGAAGAUAAUGACUGUACCGGGAGAAUAAGCCCCGGCUAACUCCGUG
rnacentral:rRNA from 1 species